rnacentral:tRNA from 3 species
UCGGGGGUGACCGAGCCUGGUCAGGGUACCCGCCUUUGAAGCGGUGGUCGGCUGACGCCGCGCGCGUUCAAAUCGCGCCCCCCGGGCCA